GGUCGAUUCUGGCUCAGAUUGAACGCUGGCGGAUGCUUUACACAUGCAAGUCGAACGGCAGCACGGACUUCGGUCUGGUGGCGAGUGGCGAACGGGUGAGUAAUGUAUCGAACGUGCUCAGUAGCGGGGGAUAACUACGCCAAGCGCAGCCACACCGCAUACGCUGGCCCUUCGGGGGAAAGCGGGGACCUUCGGGCCCUCGCACUAUUAGAGCGGGCUGAUAUCGGAUUAGCUAGUUGGUGGGGUAACGGCUCACCAAGGCGACGAUCCGUAGCUGGUUUGAGAGGACGACCAGCCACACUGACCGAGACACGGCCGAGACUCCUACGGGAGGCAGCAGUGGGGAAUUUUGGACAAUGGGGAAACCCCUUGAUCCAGCCAUCUGGCGUGCGAUGAAGGCCUUCGGGUUGUAAAAGCACUCUCUUUGGCAGGAAAGAAAACGGCACGGGAUAUCACCCGUGCAACUGACGGUACCUGCAGAAUAAGCACCGGCUAACUAUGCGCCAGCAGCUGCGGUAAUACGUAGGGUGUUAAUCGGAAUUACUGGGAAGUAAAAGCGUGCGCAGGUGGUUCUGAAAGAAAGAUGUGAAAUCCCAGAGCUUAAUCUUGGAACUGCAUUUUAACUACUGAGCUAGAGUGUCAGAGGGAGGUGAAUUCCGCGUGUAGUGAAAUGCGUAGAUAUGCGGAGGAACACCGAUGGCGAAGGCAGCCUCCUGGGAUAACACCGACGCUCAUGCACGAAAGCGGGAGCAAACAGGAUUAGAUACCCUGGUAGUCCACGCCCUAAACGAUGUCAACUAGCUGUUGGGGCUUUCGUUCGGUAGCGCAGCUAACGCGAAGUUGACCGCCUGGGGAGUACGGUCGCAAGAUUAAAACCCAAAGGAAUUGAUGGGGACCCGCACAAGCGGUGGAUGAUGUGAUUAAAUUCGAUGCAACGCGAAAACCUUACCUACCCUUGACAUGUCUGGAAUCCCGAAGAGAUUUGGGAGUUUCGCAAGAGAACUGAACACAGGUGCUGGGUGGCUGGUUCGCCAGUCGUGUCGUGAGAUGUUGGGUUAAGUCCCGCAACGAGCGCAACCUUGUCAUUAGUUGCUGCUGAAAGGGCACUUGUCGAGACUGCCGGUGACAAACUGAGGAAGGGGAUGAUGUCAAGUCCUCAUGGCCCUUAUGGGUAGGGCUUCACGUCAGCGCAAUGGUCGGGACAGAGGGUCGCCAACCCGCGAGGGGAGCCAAUCCCAGAAACCCGAUCGUAGUCCGGAUCGCAGUCUGCAACCUGACUGCGUGAAGUCGGAAUCGCUAGUAAUCGCGGAUCAGCAUGUCGCGGUGAAUACGUUCCCGGGUCUUGUACACACCACCCGUCACACCAUGGGAGUGGGUUUUACCAGAAGUAGUUAGCCUAACUGUAAGGAGGGCGAUUACCACGGUAGGAUUCAUGACUGGGGUGAAGUCGUAACAAGGUAG
rnacentral:rRNA from 1 species